rnacentral:rRNA from 1 species
GUAGGGAAUCUUGCGCAAUGGGCGAAAGCCUGACGCAGCCAUGCCGCGUGAAUGAUGAAGGUCUUAGGAUUGUAAAAUUCUUUCACCGGGGACGAUAAUGACGGUACCCGGAGAAGAAGCCCCGGCUAACUUCGUGCCAGCAGCCGCGGUAAUACGAAGGGGGCUAGCGUUGCUCGGAAUUACUGGGCGUAAAGGGAGCGUAGGCGGAUAGUUUAGUCAGAGGUGAAAGCGCAGGGCUCAACCUUGGAAUUGCCUUUGAUACUGGCUAUCUUGAGUAUGGAAGAGGUAUGUGGAACUCCGAGUGUAGAGGUGAAAGUCGUAGAUAUUCGGAAGAACACCAGUGGCGAAGGCGACAUACUGGUCCAUUACUGACGCUGAGGCUCGAAAGCGUGGGGAGCAAACAGGAUUAGAAACCCGUGUAGUCC